rnacentral:rRNA from 1 species
GACGAACGCGGGCGGCGUGCCUAAUACAUGCAAGUAGAACGCUGAAGGAGGAGCUUGCUUCUCCGGAUGAGUUGCGAACGGGUGAGUAACGCGUAGGUAACCUGCCUGGUAGCGGGGGAUAACUAUUGGAAACGAUAGCUAAUACCGCAUAACAGUAGAUAUUGCAUGAUAUCUGCUUGAAAGGUGCAAUUGCAUCACUACCAGAUGGACCUGCGUUGUAUUAGCUAGUUGGUGGGGUAACGGCUCACCAAGGCGACGAUACAUAGCCGACCUGAGAGGGUGAUCGGCCACACUGGGACUGAGACACGGCCCAGACUCCUACGGGAGGCAGCAGUAGGGAAUCUUCGGCAAUGGACGGAAGUCUGACCGAGCAACGCCGCGUGAGUGAAGAAGGUUUUCGGAUCGUAAAGCUCUGUUGUAAGAGAAGAAACGA